AUUGAACGCUGGCGGCAGGCUUAACACAUGCAAGUCGAGCGGAGCGAGGGUGCUUGCACCUUAGCUUAGCGGCGGACGGGUGAGUAAUGCUUAGGAAUCUGCCUAUUAGUGGGGGACAACAUUCCGAAAGGAAUGCUAAUACCGCAUACGCCCUACGGGGGAAAGCAGGGGAUCUUCGGACCUUGCGCUAAUAGAUGAGCCUAAGUCGGAUUAGCUAGUUGGUGGGGUAAAGGCCUUCCAAGGCGACGAUCUGUAGCGGGUCUGAGAGGAUGAUCCGCCACACUGGGACUGGGACACGGCCCAGACUCCUACGGGAGGCAGCAGUGGGGAAUAUUGGACAAUGGGCGGAAGCCUGAUCCAGCCAUGCCGCGUGUGUGAAGAAGGCCUUUUGGUUGUAAAGCACUUUAAGCGAGGAGGAGGCUACUUAGAUUAAUACUCUGGGAUAGUGGACGUUACUCGCAGAAUAAGCACCGGCUAACUCUGUGCCAGCCGCCGCAGUAA
rnacentral:rRNA from 1 species